CCAUCAAGAUGAAGCCUGAAGUAGGGGGGAGGCAUAGCUAUGAUGCUGUUGUCUCCCAUGGCAGUAGAUCCUUGGCAGAGGAUCUGCCCAGGAGGAAAACUUAGACCAGUAUCUUCAAGCUGCUUGUAGCCCUUUCUGCUGGCUACUGCAAGAUCUGUGAGUGUCAGAGUGGUGAUCACGCUAAUUGUACAGAAAGAAGCUGUGACCUCCUCAUCCUCUGAAAAUGUUUCCGCUGAGGAUGUGAGAGUACACAAAUGGUGCCAAGCAACUGAAUGCAUGCAGAAGUGGUCAAAACAGCAAGUAAUAGGAAGUGUCUGCGUCUCCUUACAAGAUUUUGCUGCAAGGCACAGAGCCUAGAAGUUGUCACAUCAAGCAUAUCAUUCUGUCUCAGGACCCUUGGAGAAGCACAGGAGAGGAAACAGAGGAUUUCAGUGAUGUAACUUGUAGCCACAAUGGAUGGUGGGAGUAAAGUCAGAGGCCUGGGUAAAACUGUACACAAUUAGGUCGGAGUCACAGGCAGUGUUUGUGUU
rnacentral:lncRNA from 1 species